rnacentral:rRNA from 1 species
UACGGAGGGGGCUAGCGUUGUUCGGAAUCACUGGGCGUAAAGCGCACGUAGGCGGAUCUUUAAGUCAGGGGUGAAAUCCCGAGGCUCAACCUCGGAACUGCCCUUGAUACUGGGGAUCUCGAGUCCGGAAGAGGUUGGUGGAACUCCGAGUGUAGAGGUGAAAUUCGUAGAUAUUCGGAAGAACACCAGUGGCGAAGGCGGCCAACUGGUCCGGCACUGACGCUGAGGUGCGAAAGCGUGGGGAGCAAACAGG